AAGAGAUUCCUGCCCGUGGCAUCGCGGAGGCUUCUCCAGGCACGUGACGCCAGACAACAGAUGUCAGAUUGGGCUUCAUCUCCUCCCCUACAUUGGACCAGCAUUGGAAGUCACACUCAGACUCCUGGUCAACCCAAACUGCCUUCUUCCUUCUCCAUCGUCCCUGAGGGCCCUGAUCAUGAUGCCCCCAUUCCCUGCCAGAGUACCAUCUCUUUCCCAGCCCAGGCCUCGAAGAUGUGCUCUUCUGAUGAACUAUGGAAACCAAGGCUCAAUUCACACUGGUUGCUGAUGACAGAGCCACGGUUCAAGCUCAAGGCUGUUGACUUUUGGAGCCCACCUGCUCUUUGCUUCUUCACACCAUCCUGAAAUCCUGAGCCCAAUUCCCCAUGACUGGUUAAGAAUGGACACAUUGGGGACACCUGGGUGGCUCAGUUGGUUGAGGGUCCAACUUCAGCUCAGGUCAUGGUCCCUCAUUUGGUGGAUUCGACACCCACAUCGGACUCUGCUGACAGUUCAGAGUCUGGAGCCUGCAUUAGAUUCUGUGUCAUCCUCUGUCUCUUUGCCCC